GACGAACGCUGGCGGCGUGCCUAAUACAUGCAAGUAGAACGCUGAAGAGAGGAGCUUGCUCUUCUUGGAUGAGUUGCGAACGGGUGAGUAACGCGUAGGUAACCUGCCUGGUAGCGGGGGAUAACUAUUGGAAACGAUAGCUAAUACCGCAUAAAAUGGAUUAUCGCAUGAUAAUCCAUUGAAAGGUGCAAAUGCAUCACUACCAGAUGGAUCUGCGUUGUAUUAGCUAGUUGGUGGGGUAACGGCUCACCAAGGCGACGAUACAUAGCCGACCUGAGAGGGUGAUCGGCCACACUGGGACGGAGACACGGCCCAGACUCCUACGGGAGGCAGCAGUAGGGAAGCUACGGCUAUGGACGGAAGUCUGACCGAGCAACGCCGCGAGAGUGAAGAAGGGUUUCGGAUCGUAAAGCUCUGUUGUAAGAGAAGAACGAGUGUGAGAGUGGAAAGUUCACACUGUGACGGUAACUUACCAGAAAGGGACGGCUAACUACGUG
rnacentral:rRNA from 1 species